rnacentral:rRNA from 2 species
CGGGACACGUGGUAUCCUGUCUGAAUAUGGGGGGACCAUCCUCCAAGGCUAAAUACUCCUGACUGACCGAUAGUGAACCAGUACCGUGAGGGAAAGGCGAAAAGAACCCCGGCGAGGGGAGUGAAAAAGAACCUGAAACCGUGUACGUACAAGCAGUGGGAGCCUCUUUAUGGGGUGACUGCGUACCUUUUGUAUAAUGGGUCAGCGACUUAUAUUCUGUAGCAAGGUUAACCGAAUAGGGGAGCCGAAGGGAAACCGAGUCUUAACUGGGCGUUAAGUUGCAGGGUAUAGACCCGAAACCCGGUGAUCUAGCCAUGGGCAGGUUGAAGGUUGGGUAACACUAACUGGAGGACCGAACCGACUAAUGUUGAAAAAUUAGCGGAUGACUUGUGGCUGGGGGUGAAAGGCCAAUCAAACCGGGAGAUAGCUGGUUCUCCCCGAAAGCUAUUUAGGUAGCGCCUCGUGAAUUCAUCUCCGGGGGUAGAGCACUGUUUCGGCAAGGGGGUCAUCCCGACUUACCAACCCGAUGCAAACUGCGAAUACCGGAGAAUGUUAUCACGGGAGACACACGGCGGGUGCUAACGUCCGUCGUGAAGAGGGAAACAACCCAGACCGCCAGCUAAGGUCCCAAAGUCAUGGUUAAGUGGGAAACGAUGUGGGAAGGCCCAGACAGCCAGGAUGUUGGCUUAGAAGCAGCCAUCAUUUAAAGAAAGCGUAAUAGCUCACUGGUCGAGUCGGCCUGCGCGGAAGAUGUAACGGGGCUAAACCAUGCAC